rnacentral:rRNA from 1 species
GUAGGGGGCAAGCGUUGUCCGGAUUCAUUGGGCGUAAAGAGCUCGUAGGCGGCUCAGCAAGUCGGUCGUGAAAGCCCGGGGCUCAACCCCGGGACGCCGAUCGAAACUGCUGUGGCUAGGGUUCGGUAGAGGAGAGUGGAAUUCCCGGUGUAGCGGUGAAAUGCGCAGAUAUCGGGAGGAACACCAGUAGCGAAGGCGGCUCUCUGGGCCGACACCGACGCUGAGGAGCGAAAGCUAGGGGAGCAAACAGGGAUUAGAUACCCUGGUAGUCCUAGCCGUAAACGUUGGGCACUAGGUGUGGCGGACUCAUUGACGUCUGCCGUGCCGCAGCUAACGCAUUAAGUGCCCCCCGCCUGGGAGUACGGUCGCAAGGCUA